CCAGCCGCCGGGCAAUUUCAUGGCAUCCUGAGCAGAACUGAACAUGCUAGAACCCAACAGAAAGAACUUCAUGCCACAAAGUCUGCCUAACUCCUGUGUCCUGGACCAACAAGGUCAGGACUGAAGAAAGGCAGACUCCUGCAUGCCCACACUGGGUGUGUGAAGAUGACUGACAUGGAGAGCCAAGCUCACCCGAGCCAAAGUUGCCAUGUGGGCUCAGGAACGCCCAAAAGCGCCCAAAGGCUCCAGGAGUUCGACUGAGGAGAAGAGAAGGACAGCACCAAGAGCAGUUCACACCAAGGAGCAGCGCUGCCUUUUCCUCUUCCCCCUCCAGAGCAUCUUCUUUCUGGUCUGCAACAACUCAGGUGAAACAACAUAAUUUUCCUGUGCUGGGGCCUGAUGCGUAGUUUAAGUAUGGUAGGGAGCAUUAGAUAAAACUAGGAUUUCCCCUAAGUUUUCAGAUGUUUCCUUUUUUGCUUCCGAGGCCGCUCAGCUGUUGAAUGGUCCAUGUCAAAGUUUCCUCUGCUAAUCAUCUUACCAUUUGCUCACUGCUUCAUCUGGUUCACUCUGGUCAUUCGGUCAUUCAUUCAUUAGCAUCGCUGUAUUCAUUUCAUUCCAUUCAUAGUUGCAUUUACUCAUUGUCUUGUCUGUUGUUAGUUGUAUUGUGUCUUGGUCUUCUGUGUCAGUAGUUUAGAAUAAAUGUUUGUCUAUAAA